rnacentral:piRNA from 1 species
GAUGCCUUGCUGUUAAUUGAGUG